rnacentral:rRNA from 1 species
GACGAACGCUGGCGGUGUGCUUAACACAUGCAAGUCGAACGGAAAGGCCCUGCUUUCGUGGGGUGCUCGAGUGGCGAACGGGUGCGUAACACGUGAGUAACCUGCCCUUGUCUUUGGGCUAACUUCAGGUAACUGGGGCUAAUCUCGUACAGGAGCUCCUGCUGCAUUGUGGGCGUUGGAAAGUCUCGGCGGUUGGGGCUGGAUUCGCGGCUGUGCAGCUAGUUGGUGGGGUAGUGGCUAACCAAGGCGUUGACGGGUAGCCGGCCUGAGAGGGUGGCCGGCCACAGUGGGACUAGGGGACGGCCCAGACGCCUACAGUAGGCAACAGUGGGGAAUAUUGCACAAUGGUCGGAAGCCUGAGGCAGAAACGCUGCGUGCGGGAUGACGGCCUGCGGGUUGUGAACCGCUGUCGCCUGUUACGAAGCGGGAGUGACGGUAAUGAAUAAAUAAGCACCGGCUAACUACGUG